rnacentral:rRNA from 1 species
GACGAACGCUGGCGGCGUGCUUAACACAUGCAAGUCGAACGGAAAGGCCCUGCUUUUGUGGGGUGCUCGAGUGGCGAACGGGUGAGUAACACGUGAGUAACCUGCCCUUGACUUUGGGAUAACUUCAGGAAACUGGGGCUAAUACCGGAUAGGAGCUCCUGCUGCAUGGUGGGGGUUGGAAAGUUUCGGCGGUUGGGGAUGGACUCGCGGCUUAUCAGCUUGUUGGUGGGGUAGUGGCUUACCAAGGCUUUGACGGGUAGCCGGCCUGAGAGGGUGACCGGCCACAGUGGGACUGAGAUACGGCCCAGACUGCUACGGGAGGCAGCAGUGGGGAAUAUUGCACAAUGGGCGGAAGCCUGAUGCAGCAACGCCGCGUGCGGGAUGACGGCCUUCGGGUUGUAACCCGCUUUCGCCUGUGACGAAGCGUGAGUGACGGUAAUGGGUAAAGAAGCACCGGCUAACUACGUG